UACGAAGGGGGCUAGCGUUGCUCGGAAUCACUGGGCGUAAAGCGCACGUAGGCGGGUCCUUAAGUCAGGGGUGAAAUCCCGGAGCUCAACUCCGGAACUGCCUUUGAUACUGGGGAGCUUGAGUCCGGAAGAGGUGAGUGGAACUCCGAGUGUAGAGGUGAAAUUCGUAGAUAUUCGGAAGAACACCAGUGGCGAAGGCGGCUCACUGGUCCGGUACUGACGCUGAGGUGCGAAAGCGUGGGGAGCAAACAGG
rnacentral:rRNA from 1 species